GGACGGACUUCCUGUUCAAUGGACCACUGGGAGAGCUGGAGGUGUGGGCUGGUUCUGGCAGCCAAUCCCACCAGGGUAGGUGUGCUCAGGAGGGAGGAGCUCUGGGACACGCUGCCUUGGAGGUGAGGCUGGCGGGAGCAUCUUGCGGGACUGAGAAACAUGUUCUCCUCAGCUAUGCCCAUGCUGCCAGCAGCCCAGUGCAUGGUGCCAUUCACAGGCCUUGGUGUGCUGCAGGAGGAGGGUGUUGAUCUGUUGGAGUGUUCCUUUGCCGUAGGACGGCCUCUCUGCCUGUCAGCCAGUGGCAGGGAAGGCAGCACGUGGAGCUGGAGGUUGUGCCUGCUGCAGCUCUGCUCAGCUGAGCCACGUGGGCCCCUGUUCCUGAGAAAAGUUGCUGCAGUCUCCACUGUGUUAUCUUGCAGGUGUUUUUCGGUAACUGCCAUAACUGUUUCUGUAUGUUUGGAAAGCAGUGAAUGGAGAAUUAUCUACCGUUUCUAUGUGUCCACAGUAACUCCAUUCUCAACUGUCUGUGUAAAUACCAAGAAUAUACAGACAGGUGUAUUUCUUUGCUUUGAUAGUUUGAGAUCUAAAUUGAAAUUUUCAGGAUGUCUGUGAAUUAACAACUUUUCUUUCUAGGCGGUCCUGUUUUGGGAGAUAUCUUAUCAGUGGCAUUAUUUCUGUCAUUUAAGUAAUCCUGUGAUGUGUUGUGUUGGAGCGGAUGCUGCUGCUGCUUGGGCUCGUCUAUUCUUUGUAAUCUCUGCUUUUGACACUUCAUUCUUUUAGUUACCAGAUAAAGAGUUGCAUGUAUCAGCCAGCAUUGGUAUGUGUUAAUGUCUGUAGAAUUACUUUUUGUAACUUCUGUAGACACAGGAAAGCGGAUGAUGUGGUACUUGUUCAGUUUUUAUUCCCUGUAAUGUUUCAGUUUAAUAUAAGUGUUGUGGCUUUCUGCUUUUUGCAGGUGGUAGAGCAGCUGCAUUCUGUUGGUGGGCAGAAUAAAAUUUCUCUGUUUACUUUAACAUUUACCAUCUUUUUUUUUUCUUUUUUUUUUUUCUGUUUUUCUGUACUGUUUUUCAACAUAUUAAACCUUAUUAUACAAACCUAUAGAGGAC
ensembl:lncRNA